rnacentral:rRNA from 1 species
UAAGGAAUAUUGGUCAAUGGAGGCAACUCUGAACCAGCCAUGCCGCGUGCAGGAAGAAGGCCCUAUGGGUCGUAAACUGCUUUUGAACAAGAGAAAACCCCGGUACGUGUACUGGGUUGAUAGUAUUGUUAGAAUAAGCAUCGGCUAACUUCGUGCCAGCAGCCGCGGUAAGACGAAGGAUGCAAGCGUUAUCCGGAUUCAUUGGGUUUAAAGGGUGCGUAGGCGGACUGAUAAGUCAGUGGUGAAAUCUCUCGGCUUAACCGAGAAACUGCCAUUGAUACUGUUAGUCUAGAGUACAGAUGAUGUGGGCGGAAUAUGACAUGUAGUGGUGAAAUACUUAGAUAUGUCAUAGAACACCGAUUGCGAAGGCAGCUCACAAAACUGUAACUGACGCUGAGGCACGAAAGUGCGGGGAUCAAACAGGAUUAGAUACCCCAGUAGUCCCUGAGCGGGCUGGCAAGGCGC